UGGCACCCGAACGGACAGUCUACGGGAGGGAAGUGACAUGGAGAAGCCAUGGGGCUGACUAUAAGAGUGAGCAGGUGCCAGCCGGGCAGAGCUGAGGGGAACGCCAGGCUCACUGGAUGACUGCAUGGGUGCUGUGUUCGGUAACAGGAGUCACCUGGUAUGAAGGAUAUGGAUUUGGGAGAAAUGAUCUUAUCAGACAACUUGACCUGAAUAACCAAAUGGAGAUAGAAAAGACUAAUUCUCAUUUGUGUGCUUUUGAAGGACUGCCUUAAGUCUGGUACCACCAAUCAAAACACAAAUUGGGAGAUUGAAUAACACAGCACUUCCGUUUAGAAAGGCACCUGAGAUAGCAGAGAAUAAAAUGAAACUAAAAAAUUCUUCUUCUCAAGAAGCUUCAUCCUAAUAGAGAUGGACAGUUAAUGAAGAAUGAAUAGAUUUUGUGCUGAGAACUCUCCCACAUCGUGCUGGUAGACACAGAUUCCAUGACUAAAUAACAGAGGACUUUUACAUUUGUGCAAGUUCUCCCCUACAGAAGACAAUAAUGAUACAGGCAUUUAAACAAAGAGGCUUGGAUUGAGAAGAAAAAUAUCAACUACUGAAAUUGUCUAAGAGGAAGGAAAAAGGAAUUCAGAAGCUUAUGGAUGAAGAAGGUAUCUUGAGGACAGACCACUUUUCCCUAUAAAGUAUUUCUCCAGAAAACACCUAUUAGAACAACAUGAUUAAGUAAAAUAAAGUUGUGCUGAUUUUCUGGGUUCUUCAAUUAA